GUCAUCUAGGUUGCUUUGGUCUUUUGCUUGGCUGUGGACUGAUUCAGAAGUCACUCCUUUGGCUCUGCUUGAAAGGAGAGGGGAAAAACAGAUGAGGCCUGCUGUCAGAUCUGCAGCGUUGCAUUCCUUCCCGGGAGGGUGAGAGGUGGAGUCAGGUGAAGUGCUUCAGUUCUUCAUUGGCUGGGGCCCACAGGUAACUGGAGCCUCCUGCACAACAGUGUGAAUAAAGACUGAACCUGAAGGACACCACCUUAAAAUGGGCAGAACUUUUCUUCUCCAUCUCUGCUACUAUUUAAAAAAAAAAAAUUCUUAUGCAUUUUUCAACACACUUUCAUUGGUAUCUGCUCUUCUCCUUCCUCUUUCUCUUCUGCACCCCCACCCCUCACACAUCUUUUUUCUUUCCAAACCUUCUUAUUUGCUUCCAGUCUAUUUAGCUGGACAAGAUAACUGAAAGCAAGACUACAGUCUUAAUAAGAGGACUAGUCAUUUUCUUCUAUGUGUUUGUUUCACUUUCUCUGGAGCCCUAUCGAAAAGAGGAGAAAAGAAGAAGAAAAGGAAAAGAAGAAAAGAAAAAGCAGUUUCUGAUUUUUUUUAAUUGACUUCUUAUUUUUCUUUUCUGUCUUUCUAGUUAUUACAGAGUUGUUCUUUUAUUUUAUUUUGGUUUAAAGUUAAGUAAAACUAUUACAAGACUGGGACUGUACCUAGUUUAUCAAGGGGCAGCGAUUUUUCCCUCCAGGAUGGCACAUCCACUAGCAAAACUGGAAUGUAACUUUUUUUUUUUUGGUGUGCAUACAAAGCUGUGCAUUUGCAGAAAGAACCUUCCCUUUGCAAUCUACAAGCAACACCUGCUUCCAUCUGAUUUCCUGGCAGCGAUGCCUUCAGAACCUGGCAAAAACUCCAUUAAAAUUUUAGGCCCAUUUAUUUUGUAAUAAAAUGAAUGUAAAUAAGA